AAAUCAUUUGCCAGCUGUCCUACAUCCCUGGGGAAGAGAAGAAGGAGGGUAGCUCUUGCUUUCCUUAAGAUGUUUGUGGCUUGUUCCUAUGCACGGUCUCAUCAUUAUUUUGUUACAGUAUUUAUCCUCAGCUAUAUCGUGAUAGGAGAAAAAGCAUGAGAAGGAAAAGGAAAAAAAAAAUCGAAGGUUUCUAGUUUGGGAUCUGGAGGAGGUUUCACAUCUUGAGUUGCUUUUCAGGAUUUCAGAAAUGUUGUUUUCCCAGAAGAAACAAAAAGCCCUUGUAGUAUGGGGAUGAGUAGUGGAGAAGUGAAAGAGAGAAGGCUGGUAACUAUGGCAGUCACCUGGGACCCUGCUCUGCCAUUUUCCUCUGAUCGAGUGACCUUGGUACAGAAAAUGGCUCUUCUAGAACAGUGCUCUCCUCUAUGGAGAAGCCAGGGCUGAGCUGAAGCGAGAGGCAGAGCCGCGCGUUGAUUUUUGUUUCCAUAAACUUACUGAGGAACGGCAUGCAACUUUGGUGCACAUGUGAUUAAACUAAUCUAGUUAAAAUCAGAAAAGGAUUUCUCAUAAUUCAAUUGGAGUUGUUUUUAAUGUUUGGACUUUGGUCAAGGACAGCUUUAUUGAUUGAAUUUAAUUGCAUAUAUUUUCCUGUCCAUUUAUUGAAGCCUAUUUUUCAAGUCACUUGAGAGGCUGCUAACAUUUCAGAAAGGGGAUAUGCCAAAGCAUUGCUUUAAUUCAUUAUCUUUUGGACAUACGGUAGUUGCUACUUGGCCCGAAUUAAAUCCGUUAGAGAAUGUGAUAGCAUAAUUACUUACAGGUAUCCAAAACUGCUUUUAACCGAAUUCUCUAGGAGGUUAUACAUAAGAUUUGCGUUGCCCUUACAUUGAAUGCAAAUGUCUGGGAUUUCAAUGAUAAAUAAAUACUUCAGCAACCGAGGACAGAUUUUUCUUGUUUCCAUAUGUUGCUGAUGGACUAAAAAUCUUGUGAGGUCUUUAUUUUUCCUCAGUAUAAAAAAUAGAAGUCUUUUACAAAUUAGUUCAGUAACUCUUUCAAAAUGUAUAAACAUAAUGACCCUUGAGGUAAAAAAGAAACAGUCUGUGAUUUUGACUUGCUUUAUUCUUUCGAACCGUGCUCAAUUCUCAGAGAUUUUCUAGACAAAACUGCACAUUAGCUAGAUUACUUCACAGCGCGUUCCAAUGACAUCAAGUCUAUCAACUUCCAAAAGUUAAUGUCAUCCUGCCUCAAAUCCCAGGCCAGUGCUUGAUGUUCCCAGACUGGAAGGAUGGCUCCCAUGGACUGGAAAUUGCUGUAGGAGAGGGCAGAAGCUGUGUUACCCCACGGGCAGCACUGUGGAGGGAGCACUGCUCCUGGUAGCUCUGUCCCUGCUGUCCAUACCUCCUUCCUACAUUCUUUUAUACUCCAUCACAUCUUCCUGCCUUCAAGACUUCCUCAGUCUAGCAAAGAAAUGGUGUGCAUGUGUGUCUUUAAGUACAUGGGAGCUGUUGCUGGCUGUCAUGGACCUGUCCAAGUGUUGGGCUUAGUUCUCUCUGUGCUGAUUGUAACUGGCAUCAUCUUGGUGUUUAUGAAAACUGGAAGUGGCAAGAGUUGUAGCUAAUACAGUUGUGUUCAUUAAUAAUGGAUCUAAGCAGAAAAUGUAAAUCUAACUACAAAACCUCUGACAUGAAGUGUUUUUUAGGUAUCCGACUACUUUAUAGGGGGGUGUAUAAGACCAGACUUGAUUUAGCUCUGAAAACCACAAAUUGGACACAGUUCAGGCUUCAACUCUUUCCCAAUUAAGAAAGCACAAUGCUUCUUGAAGUGAGGGAAAUGCUCCCCCAAAGAGCCCAGGUUUUCACUUCUCCUUACAUUAGCUGUGCAGCUAACAAGCACAGCUGAAGUGCCUGAUGUCUGCAGUACCUCUCCUCCCUGCAGAACACCUGACAUUUAAAUAUUGUCUAACCCACAAAAGUUUUGCUCAGGAAUCCAGUGAUGGUAUCUGAUUAAAAAAAAACACAAGGAAUUCCUUUCACGAGGAGCUGAACUGCAGAUGGUUAUGUGAUUUGAGGGCCACUGAACAUCAACAGUUUCACCAACUGAAUCGGAAUUACAGAAACACCUGCAUGACUGCAUCUGCAGACUCAGCUAAAUUAUGCUUCCAUCCAGCCACAUGACAUCUAACGCAUAAUUCUUCUGCAUUUUAAUCAAAUGCAUUAUAAUGUCAGUAUAAGAUUUCAAUAUGAAUGCACCUUAAUGUAAGAGUAACUAACGGCUGCCAUCCAUUAGUACCAGUUAAGAGACAUACUUCCUACCAGGCAAUGAGGGCACGGCCAUUUUAACUCAUUAUCUGAUUUGUGAAUUACAUCCCAUUGCACACGAAGGGGAUGCUCACAGGACGCUGGUGGGGAUGCAAGAUCGAGCGUGCAAAGUCAGGAAAUGUUUGAAGGGAGGCUGCAGGGCAGGGUUCUCAACCCCCUGCAGUGAGACAGGUUUGUGUGCGCUACCAAGCGGGGUCGGGUCCCUACAAAACCUGCAUGAGUCUGGCAACUUAAUGCUUAAAGAACUUCUAUCGAGCACGUGCAAACUCUGAACUUGUAAAGGCUUUUCAGAUUUGAUAGAUUUUCAAGGCUACAGUGAAGCAUCUCUUAAGAAAUGGCUGAUGUAGGCCAAUCUCCCAGUUAUUGCUUCAGACCAUGAUGUCGACAGGGCUUUUCAAGGACAAACUGCCAGAAACACUGAAACAUUUUUUUUCUAGUGCCUUUUUUUAGAGAUAGAUGAAUUGGCUCGGAUGAAAAGAAUUCCAGAAAGAAAUCAGCCUGACAAAAACAUGAAGUGUGGGGAAUGUCCUCUAAUUGCUAAUACCUGGUGAAGUUAUGAGUGCUGAAAAUCAACUUUUAAACAGGAAGCAUUGGUCAGCCUUGGGUGACAGAAAACACUGUGAGUUACCGCUUGCUGAACUUGCUGAAUGUGCCAGUUGGCUUUUUCAUAAGAUGUGCCUAUGGUUUGGCCUUCAGAAACGUGUCCCAAUGCCCGUGGACUGAAUUCAAUAGACUUUUGCUGUUAUAUGUGCUUCUGCCCGUAGUGUAGUUCAGUUUGGGGCCAGAUCUUCUGGAAAACGGAUACUGUCGUAUCAUGUUACUCCUUUAUUGGCACAUUCAUACUUCUAGGACCAGUAAAACAAGCCUGAAAGCAUACAGUGAGGUAGAAAGUGAAGACUUAAACUAAGUAAAUUUGUUCUUGAGAGGCUGGUAUUGAAAUACAGUGCUUCCUGCCCAUGUUUGGCUUUACUUUAGUUCAUUGGUCCCUAGUGCGCCCAGAAUUAUAGCUCAGCAAACAUCACCAAGCAUCAUACAUUAAAAAAAAACAAAUCCACCUGAAAAAUCUCUCAGGUGUGGCUUAAAGGCAGAAAACCUCCUGGGCAAAGAAACUGACAGACCAUACCUUGACUUGGUCAUUUCCCCUUUCAGAUGUGGACACAUGUUCAGUACAAAUUACUCUGAAAUGAGUCAUUAUUUUCCUAUGGCUAACAAAUAAUAAUGAUUCAACAUUUGCAUGUCCCUGAAUUGCAGUGGAGUGGGAUUACAGAUGGUACAAGAUGCAUUAGUUUUACAAAACAUAUUGAAGAUUUCAACUUUGUAACGGAAACUGUUCUGUCUUCACUUAACUUAUAUGCAUGUGAAUACCAGCAUAGUGGGGAGCCUGGAGAUAUGAGAACCACUAAAGAUGCAGAAAAAGGUAUGCAGAAGUAAAAUGCAAACUUUCAGAUCUCAGCUUUGCAUUCAGUUUCAUAAGAACUGACCAGCAAAGGUCCAACCAUCCUGCCCAGAAAGUCUAUGGUGGAGCCCCAGACAGAACCCAAAUUGUGUUCAUACGUUAAGUCCCACUGGCAAGCAUUAGUGGGAGCUGCAAUCACAUAUGGAUGUGUGAAAAGCCUCAGUGAGAGCUCUGUAAGGUAGUGUGUGACUGUGCAGAGCCACGGUAAAAUAAUCUACAGGGAGAAACCUUGAAGAAUGCUGUGGAUAAAUCAAAUAAUUUAAAGAAACUGCCAGGUGAUGGAGGUUAAAAAUGAAACAGGGAAAUAAAAGCAGUGAUGGAGUCCAUUCACUGCACUGAACAGUAAACAAGAACUUGUCUUUAGAAAUUAAGCGGCCAAGAUCUUCAGAAAUGUUUCAUUGCUGAGCUCUCUAACUUAGAGAGAACAUCAGCAUGAUACAACAGCAAGGGGCCAGCAGCCAGAAGUCCCAGGUACCUCUGCACCUCUCCUGUCAGAAGGAAACUUCUCCCAGAGCAACAGCAGUCACAGCUUGCAAAAUCCCUCCUCACUUCUGCCAACGCUGACCACUGCAGCUGCAUAAAUAAAUGCUAAGGGACAUCUUUUGCUUACUUAAAGCAAGAGGACCUACUGAAAGAUAUAAAGGGCUAAGAACUUUACCCUGUUUCCUAAGAAUUUUGUUUCUUUGCUUUACUAUUACUCUAUAGUCUAAACAGAAAUAAAGGACAUGGCAAAAAGGUCUCGCUGACAAGGCAUGAGUUGAGAAAAGCUCUGAUCAGUAUUGCUCUGCUGAAGAAUACAGUACAUGAAAUGGUGGCAGCUCUGCAAUAGGUCAGUGAUAAUGAUGCUCCUGAGGUUAUGCUACACUGACAGCAACCAUAUAAAUGUCAAAGCCUUGCAGAAUCUCCCUGGGAAAGGCUUCCUGCUACCUGACAAGCCUCCGGCAGCCAUUCUGCUGGGCAACAAAAAUCUCUAAAGAGUUUGUUCUCUUUUUGCAGGCAAACUUCAGGAUUUUCCCUGAAGCCAUUGCCUAGUUUGAAAUCCCGCCGUGGUUUGGAGGAUACCAGUCUCGUUUACACUUAGAUGAAAGAACAAAACCUUUCCUGACAGUUGCACAUAGGUGUAAUGAACAAUGAAAUCAUCAGUUAACAGAGCAGACAGCAAACACUGCUGGAGGGUUUUGGUGAUAAGAGCCCCUAUGAACAACCGAAACUGGAGGAAUAUGGAAUGGAUGAUAAGUAAAUAACGUGUAUAAAUCAAACCUGACUGCAAUCACAAUCACUGGUUUCUAUUCCUUGUUCUGGUCCCCAUCAGCCACCUGAAUUGGAAGUUCUUACAGAGUUCUGUGUGUCCGUGUGCGUCUCACUGGCUUCAAAUUCAGGUGCAAAUUGUUCCAGCAAUACUGCUCUGGUACAUCUGAGGCAAAGCAAUCCAUAAGACUGACAGUGAAAGCUCUUAUCUUGUGAGAUGUCCUUUUCCAAUGGUCACUGACCAAUAGCCAACCUAUUAAUCACGGUAAACCAAGUUUGUUGGGUCCGUGUUGGCCAAAGCACUUGAGAAAAGACAAAAGGCAUCGUGUUCCAGCUGGCACCUGCAAGUAAUUACACAUGGCGAUAGAGGUACGCAAAAGAACAUUUUGAGAACUGAUGCUAAGAAGAAAGGUUCAUUUCUUUUUGGAACAGACUGAACUAUUUUCUGAUCUCUAGGUGCCUUAGGGUCUUAGAAAUCAAAGUAAAUAAAAUCACUUGCCAGAUGUUCAUCUGGAAAAGUGACAGAUCUCGAGUUACUUUUCACCAGUUCUGGAAGCUGAUUCCACUUCCCACACGAUGCUGUAUUUUAUAAGGCUAUUUUAUCAGCAGUGGUGCAGGGCAAAUGCUCCAAAAUCAUAAGAAAACUGAAUCUGGGGGUCCACCAUUUUCCCAAAGCAUCUUAUCUCCCUACCACCACAUCUUUGGUCUGUCUCUGAUGUCUGAGGAUAUCAGGACACAUACGAUGCAAAGUAAAAGCCAGACAUGCAGUUUUAGGAGAAUCUAACAUGUGGUGGCUGACUCUUUCCUGAAAACAUCCUGAAGAAUGGAAGGAAGAAGAUAAGAAGAUGAUUCCUCUGGACAGUACCAGGCAGACAUGGCCAGAGUUUCACUUCUGGAAGAUAAACUAUCCCCAUCAGACCACUUUCCAUUGAAAGAAAGGAGGAAGACCAAUUUAUGAUCACAGCUUGAGAAAUAAGUCUCCUUCAUAUCAUACCACCUCAUCCUGGAUCUGACAGUUGUUUCAAAGAUAAAGAAAUCCCUCAGACUGCACCUCUCCCAGCAAAUCAUUUCAGCUUGUGUUUCAUUUUAACUUUCUGAGUCGAUCAGUGGGACAAUUUCCUGCGUAGAGUUAAUUGCCAGCACCACUGCAAGCUCAAAAAGGCAGGUCAGCAGCCACUGGAUUGAUCCCUGCCUAAGUCCUUGAGACCAUCUAGCUGUCCAGGCUCUGCUGUCACUGAUGUUCCUGUGCCCUCCCAACUUUUGGCAUCUGAGUUACCAUUUAAUAAUGCUGCCCAAUGUCAUUUUUUGCUUUGUCUUUUUACUGAAUUACCAGUAUCUCUGGUCACCUCCAUCUGUAACAAUGGUAGAAACAACUGACACCUGGUAGUUACGCUUUGUGGGCUAACAAGUUUAAGAGCAGAAAGGGUCAUGUUGAGCUUUUACUCUGACCUCCUACACAGAAUCAGCCCAUGCUUUUUGAUUUUACAGCAUUUAGAUCCCAGUUUUCAUCUCACCCAGCAGGUAUUUAGGCAAAGUUGAGCUGUGCUAGUCUGAAGAUGCUACAAAUGAAGGAAAUCAGAUGAAGCCUCUGCUUCUCUCCCUUCUGCAAUACACUGAGCUAGGACCAGAUGCACGGUGUGGUGGUAUUGUAGAGCCUCCAAAUGUUUUAUGAUUGAUCGUGUUUUUGGCAGUUCUUGAGCUUUUCAGAGGGAGGAGAGAGGAACAUGAUUGUAGAAAGCAAAGGAUGCAUAGGAUACGUGUCUGGGAACUGCUGAGGCAGGUAUGUGAGGUCACAGAGGCCAGGAGCUGUGUGAGCAGCAGGACAAGUAACUAUCAGCAUUUUCUCAUGGGAAUAGAUUGCUGAGGCAGUGCUGCUUCAGAGAAAGAGGUCUGGGGUGAACUUUCAGCCUCGCGUUCUGUCUGUGACCUGCUCUGAUCUAGGACUGUCUUAUUCACACUGCAAAUAAAAGAGAAUUCUAGGCAGGAGAUUCCCCGGUCUGCAGUCACUGCUUCCCAGGCUCCAGGAACCAGCUUCUUCCAGCCAGCAGGCAGCAAG